AAUAACAAGGUUUCCGUAGGUGAACCUGCGGAAGGAUCAUU
rnacentral:rRNA from 1 species